CAGUCGCCGCGGGAAAACGGAGGGUGCAAGCGUUAAUCGGAAUUACUGGGCGUAAAGCGCACGCAGGCGGUCUGUCAAGUCGGAUGUGAAAUCCCCGGGCUCAACCUGGGAACUGCAUUCGAAACUGGCAGGCUAGAGUCUUGUAGAGGGGGGUAGAAUUCCAGGUGUAGCGGUGAAAUGCGUAGAGAUCUGGAGGAAUACCGGUGGCGAAGGCGGCCCCCUGGACAAAGACUGACGCUCAGGUGCGAAAGCGUGGGGAGCAAACAGGAUUAGAUACCCGGGUAGUCCCUGUCUCUUAUAC
rnacentral:rRNA from 1 species